rnacentral:rRNA from 1 species
UGGGGAAUAUUGCACAAUGGGCGCAAGCCUGAUGCAGCCAUGCCGCGUGUGUGAAGAAGGCCUUCGGGUUGUAAAGCACUUUCAGCGAGGCGGAAGGCGUUAAGGUUAAUAACCUUAGUGAUUGAAGUUACUCGCAGAAGAAGCACCGGCUAACUCCGUGCCAGCAGACGCGGUAAUACGGAGGGUGCAAGCGUUAAUCGGAAUUACUGGGCGUAAAGCGCACGCAGGCGGUUUGUUAAGUCAGAUGUGAAAUCCCCGAGCUUAACUUGGGAACUGCAUUUGAAACUGGCAAGCUAGAGUCUUGUAGAGGGGGGUAGAAUUCCAGGUGUAGCGGUGAAAUGCGUAGAGAUCUGGAGGAAUACCGGUGGCGAAGGCGGCCCCCUGGACAAAGACUGACGCUCAGGUGCGAAAGCGUGGGGAGCAAACA